AUUGAACGCUGGCGGCAGGCCUAACACAUGCAAGUCGAGCGAGCGGCGGACGGGUGAGUAAUGUAUGGGGACUGCCCGAUAGAGGGGGAUAACUACUGGAAACGGUGGCUAAUACCGCAUACUAUCGGAAAACCCAUAUGGGAUUAGCUAGUAGGUGGGUUAAAGGCUCACCUAGGCGACGAUCUCUAGCUGGUCUGAGAGGAUGAUCGACGACACGGGGACGGGGACACGGCCCAGACUCCCAGGAAGGCAGCAGUGGGGAAUAUUGCACAAUGGGCGCAAGCCUGAGGCAGCCAUGCCGCGUGUAUGAAGAAGGCCUUAGGUUUGUAAAGUACUUUCAGCGGGGAGGCGUUACCCGCAGAAGAAGCACCGGCUAACUCCGUGCCAGCAGCCGCGGUAGUUC
rnacentral:rRNA from 1 species